UGAGUUUGAUCCUGGCUCAGAUUGAACGCUGGCGGCAGGCUUAACACAUGCAAGUCGAGCGGAAACGAUGGAGCUUGCUCCAGGCGUCGAGCGGCGGACGGGUGAGUAACGCGUAGGAAUCUGCCCAGUAGAGGGGGAUAGCCCGGGGAAACCCGGAUUAAUACCGCAUACGCCCUAAGGGGGAAAGCAGGGGAUCUUCGGACCUUGCGCUAUUGGAUGAGCCUGCGUUGGAUUAGCUAGUUGGUGGGGUAAAGGCCUACCAAGGCGACGAUCCAUAGCUGGUCUGAGAGGAUGAUCAGCCACACUGGCACUGAAACACGGGCCAGACUCCUACGGGAGGCAGCAGUGAGGAAUAUUGCACAAUGGGCGCAAGCCUGAUGCAGCCAUGCCGCGUGUGUGAAGAAGGCCUUAGGGUUGUAAAGCACUUUCAGUAGGGAGGAAUAGGAUUGGGUUAAUAACCUAGUUUAAUGACGUUACCUACAGAAGAAGUACCGGCUAACUCCGUGCCAGCAGCCGCGGUAAUACGGAGGGUACAAACGUUAAUCGGAAUUACUGGGCGUAAAGCGCGCGUAGGUGGUUUGUUAAGUGGGAUGUGAAAGCCCAGGGCUUAACCUUGGAACUGCAUUCCAAACUGACAAACUAGAGUAGGAUAGAGGGGGGUAGAAUUUCAGGUGUAGCGGUGAAAUGCGUAGAGAUCUGAAGGAAUACCGGUGGCGAAGGCGGCCCCCUGGAUUGAUACUGACACUGAGGUGCGAAAGCGUGGGUAGCAAACAGGAUUAGAUACCCUGGUAGUCCACGCCGUAAACGAUGUCUACUAGCCGUUGGAAUCCUUAGAGGUUUUAGUGGCGCAGCUAACGCAAUAAGUAGACCGCCUGGGGAGUACGGCCGCAAGGCUAAAACUCAAAUGAAUUGACGGGGGCCCGCACAAGCGGUGGAGCAUGUGGUUUAAUUCGACGCAAUGCGAAGAACCUUACCUACUCUUGACAUCCUCGGAACUUAGCAGAGAUGCUUUGGUGCCUUCGGGAACCGAGUGACAGGUGCUGUAUGGCUGUCGUCAGCUCGUGUCGUGAGAUGUUGGGUUAAGUCCCGUAACGAGCGCAACCCUUGUCCCUAUUUGCCAUCAUUUAGUUGGGCACUCUAGGGAGACUGCCGGUGACAAACCGGAGGAAGGUGGGGACGACGUCAAGUCAUCAUGGCCCUUACGACCAGGGCUACACACGUGCUACAAUGGGAUGUACAGAGGGUUGCAACCCCGCGAGGGUAAGCUAAUCCCAUAAAACAUCUCGUAGUCCGGAUUGCAGUCUGCAACUCGACUGCAUGAAGUCGGAAUCGCUAGUAAUCGCGAAUCAGAAUGUCGCGGUGAAUACGUUCCCGGGCCUUGUACACACCGCCCGUCACACCAUGGGAGUGGAUUGCAAAAGAAGUGGGUAGUCUAACUUCGGAGGACGCUCACCACUUUGUGAUUCAUGACUGGGGUGAAGUCGUAACAAGGUAGCCGUAGGGGAACCUGCGGCUG
rnacentral:rRNA from 1 species